CUGCCUCUGGUGCUUAUCACAGGUUGUAUUCUCACACUGACUGUAUAGAAAGAGGAGGAAGUGUAAAUCUACCCCAUAUAGACCUUGGCACAGACCCUGUGUCUGCUCUGUAUUGUGAAUGGGGAGACAUGG
ensembl:snoRNA